rnacentral:tRNA from 1 species
UCAAGAAGUAGUUUAAUUAGAAUAUCAGCUUUGGGUGUUGAUGGUGGGGAGUUAGUUCCUUCUUCUUGA